AUUCUGCUGGUGGGAUAGUAGCAGUGAGGAUGAGCAGAGGUCACUCUCGUCACCUUCUUGGUUUUGGGGACGAGACACACACACACAGAGACAGAGAGAGAGAGAGAGUGCAAAGCAAGGCAAGGCAAGAGGAGUAAGAAGGUCAUUAUGCAAUCUUUCUCGGACUCAGCUCUCUAAUUCUUAAGCUUUUCAGAUACUCAACCUGUAUAAGGACUGAGUGAAUAAGUGCAGACUGCUUGGAACAGCAUCCAUCACAUAAUAAGUGAAGUGAUCAGCAGUCUCAAAGUACCAUCUGUGUACUCCUGGGAGCUCCUAAGACACUUUCAAGAGCCACAGCAAAAGAGAUGAAAUUCUGCCUGAACUAUUAUCCUCCAUUUACAGUUAAGUAAACUGAGGCCCUGGAAAAUGAGGCACUUUAGUUUUAAAAGCUGCUAAAGUCUAUUGCUACAUCAUGCAGCUAGCCUGGGCUCUGCUUUGCUUGUGUCAGUCAGCUCUGAAGAAGUCUCUGUCCUGUAAUUUAGACUGUAUGCCAUUAAGUGGGAUUAGUUCAGGGAAAUUCACAGGAAUAACAAAAGACAGAAAACAUGAGGAUGAUGGGCCCCACCCCAGGACGGAAAAUGUGUGGAAACAUCAAGGGAAUAAAAGUGUGUCAGUUUCAGUUCUGGACUCCACAUUUUGCUAGGGACAUUACCAACUAUCCAGAAGACAGAGAUGGGAAAUGUAAAGGGACUGCAAAAAAGCCAUGUUACAUAAAGAACCGUGAAAGAAACUGGAAAUAAUUUCCUUAGAGGACAGAAGAUUCCUAGGAAAUAAGACAAUGAACAAUGAGUGUUGGAGAAUGUCCUUUCCUGCCUCUUAAUCAUUCUGAAUCGAAACUAAUGAUAAACUUCAAUCAAUGACAUUGAGGGGAUGGGUAAGGGAUAAUAUAAAGAGUCCUCUAUGCAUGCUAAUUUGUUGUUACAUGUGACCUAAGAUGGUGGUUUCUUGCUUUAAAGACCUUACUAAUCAUUACAGAGUAUUCUUAUUCUCUGCUCAAUAAUUUGGAAAUGACUUAGGUCCUGUAACUCUCUGUGUCUCUAAUUUCUGAUCUCUGUAUUCAUCCAUGCUGUCUUUAGUACAAGUAUUUAUUUAUGUAGACUUCCCUUGUUCUGUUCUUUAUGUUACAUGGAGGAAAUUCUGAGAAACUUCAUCAGUAGCACUAUGAAACUCCUUCCAUACAGAACAGUCUAGAACAGGCAUUGUCAAACUGGGCUAAAUCUGUUCUGCCAUCUGCUUUUCUAAAGAAAAUGUUGUUGGAACACAACCACGUUCAUUCAUUUCUGUAUUGUCUGUGGCAGAGAUUGACCAUCACGAUAGAGACCAUAUGAGUUGAAAAGCCUAAAACAUUUAUUACCUGGCUCUGAACAGAAAAUACUUGCUGACUUCUGGUCUGGAACAGCACUGUGUAUAUACCUCAGGUUUAAUACUGGAAGUCUCCAUUAGUCCUUCUUCAGAGGUGACUAGAGUGCACAGUCAUAAUGACAGGGCCCCAAGGACUUCUCUAACUCACACUCCCUGUCCAGUCACCUUCACUGCAACAACCAUCUUACCAAGGGGUGCUGUCACUGCUCCUGUCCACUUUCUGGCCGUCAGAUGCCUCGAGAGUUCUUCUUGCCCUUGAUAAGGAAUAAACUUGUCAGUUGCAUGUGGCAGUUUUUCAACUGAUUUGGGAGAUGAUGCAGAUUUUGCUAUUUCUUAACUUUCAAUUGUUGUGUUUUCUGGUUCUCAGUAGGGAGACAUGAAGAAAAUUGCUGAUUCCCUUCAGUUAAAUAACAGUUUAGAUUAAACCAGCAAGAACUUUUGCUCUUUAAUAAAAUGCAAAGUUACCAU
ensembl:lncRNA LINC02516 long intergenic non-protein coding RNA 2516